CUUUACUGUAGCCUGGUAUUGGGUUCGGGCUUUGACUGCGCAGGAUAGGUGGGAGACUAUGAAGCUGCCCUUGUGGGGGCAGUGGAGUCAUCAGUGAGAUACCACUCUGUCAAGGCUAGAAUUCUAACCGUCUGCCGUUAUCCGGCGACGGAACAGUAUCAGGUGGGCAGUUUGACUGGGGCGGUCGCCUCCUAAAUGGUAACGGAGGCGCGCAAAGGUUCCCUCAGGCUGGUUGGAAAUCAGCCGAAGAGUGUAAAGGCAGAAGGGAGCUUGACUGCAAGAGCAACAACUCAAGCAGGGACGAAAGUCGGCCUUAGUGAUCCGACGGUGCCGCAUGGAAGGGCCGUCGCUCAACGGAUAAAAGUUA
rnacentral:rRNA from 1 species